UUCUCUGCGUGAUAGGGAGUGGAAGGAAAAGACUUUAAGGAGUAGCUGCACUGCUGAGGACAAGUUUGGGGCUCUGUUUGCUGAAGGUGUUGAAUAAAUCACUAUGAUCUCCAGUCCCAUGGGAGACCACAAUGGAGAAGACAGCCAUGGAAACUUAGACCUGAAUUUAACUCUGGCGACCAGAGCUUUGAGAAUGUGGGCUAUGUAUUACCAAAUCUUUAUCAUUUUGAGAUCUGAGAGUCAGAAGAUACCAGGCACCUUUGAAUAGACAGAGUAGAUGUGUUGUGCCAAAGCUGAGAAGACCUUUCCAGAUCGAUAUCUCCUUGCACCUACAUCUUACAGAACGUGGAUUUCAGAACAUGGUGUCGGGACAUCCCAGGUCUGUGAGGAGAGGGCAGUGGCUGGCAAGGCUGCCCCAUGUUACACAGAUUGACCAAACAUAGCUGAGUGCUGGGCCUGCCUACCUCAAAGGUGACCUUGAGGUUUGUUGAAGAUGCCUCUGGUAAGUUUAAGCAGACAAAUUACUUCAUGUGGUUGCUAGUAUAAUGACAGGCUUAGAACAAGAAAAUGCGGGAGUGCACUUGAAAUGAAUGCUUUGCUCUGGGGAGAAAAGUGCUUUGAACAGUUGUAUGAAGUGUAAAUGACUUGGGGAAUUGGAGGAUCCAUAGGUGACUUGGAGUGUGGUUUUCUGUUGGGAUUUCUGUCAAACCUGUUAAUUUUGUAAUUCUUUUGACUCUUGCUGAAAGCAGCCUGAGAGGGAAAUAGCAACAAUUUUCCAUGAAAUGUGACAUUCUGAAAUAUCAAGUUGUUAGUUGAAACACAUGAUUUGCAUGAAAGGUAUAAUUCCUCUGCCACUUCUCUCAUAAAAAUGUCAUAGAAAUUUAAUUGCAAAAGUAUUAGCAGCUAAGAGCUGGAAUCAAAAAUCUUGGGGUGCAGCAGAGGGGGAAGGACGAUUCUUUCUGUAGGCCGUUUACACAAUAUAUAGCACCUUCUGUCUGCAGGUCUGGUUUCUGUCAUAUGAGCCCUGCUAAAACAAAAUCAGCUGUUUCUAUUUGAUCUCU